rnacentral:piRNA from 1 species
CUCUGAGGAUGAUUAUUGAGUGAAUUCAGGC